CCUACGGGAGGCAGCAGUAGGGAAUAUUGCUCAAUGGGGGAAACCCUGAAGCAGCAACGCCGCGUGGAGGAUGAAGGUUUUAGGAUUGUAAACUCCUUUUGUGAGAGAAGAUAAUGACGGUAUCCCACGAAUAAGCACCGGCCAACUUCGUGCCAGCAGCCGCGGUAAUACGGUGGGUGCAAGCGUUACUCGGAAUCACUGGGCGUAAAGGGUGCGCAGGCGGGCUUGUAAGUCAGAUGUGAAAUCCUGUAGCUUAACUACAGAACUGCAUUUGAAACUGUGGGUCUAGAGUGUGGGAGAGGUAGGUGGAAUUCUUGGUGUAGGGGUAAAAUCCGUAGAUAUCAAGAAGAAUACUCAUUGCGAAGGCGACCUACUGGAACAUUACUGACGCUCAGGCACGAAAGCGUGGGGAGCGAACAGGAUUAGAUACCCGAGUAGUC
rnacentral:rRNA from 1 species